GAGUUUGAUCGUGGCUCAGAUUGAACGCUGGCGGCAGGCCUAACACAUGCAAGUCGAGCGGAUGAAGGGAGCUUGCUCCUUGAUUCAGCGGCGGACGGGUGAGUAAUGGCCUAGGAAUCUGCCUGGGUAGUGGGGGAUAACGUCCGGAAACGGGCGCUAAUACCGCAUACGUCCUGAGGGAGAAAGUGGGGGAUCUUCGGACCUCACGCUAUCAGAUGAGCCUAGGUCGGAUUAGCUAGUUGGUGGGGUAAAGGCCUACCAAGGCGACGAUCCGUAACUGGUCUGAGAGGAUGAUCAGUCACACUGGAACUGAGACACGGUCCAGACUCCUACGGGAGGCGAGCAGUGGGGAAUAUUGGACAAUGGGCGGAAAGCCUGAUCCAGCCAUGCCGCGUGUGUG
rnacentral:rRNA from 1 species